GGCAGCAUGGUGUAGUGGUUUGAGUGUUGGACCAUGACUCUGGAGACCAGGGUUCAAUUCCCAGUUUUGCCA
rnacentral:tRNA from 1 species